rnacentral:tRNA from 1 species
GGAGGGGUCCCCUAGCCUGGCCAAUGGGGUGGGACUUAGGAUCCCAUGGCGUAAGCCUUCCCGGGUUCAAAUCCCGGCCCCUCCA